rnacentral:rRNA from 1 species
GACGAACGCUGGCGGCGUGCUUAACACAUGCAAGUCGAACGAUGAAGUUCCUUCGGGAAUGGAUUAGUGGCGAACGGGUGAGGAACACGUGAGAAACCUGCCUUUCAUUUUGGGAUAACUCCGGGAAACCGGGGCUAAAACCGAAUACUCCGUCUCGGCGGCAUCGCUGAGCCGGGAAAAAAUUUUGAUGAAAGAUGGUCUCGCGGCCUAUCAGCUAGUUGGUGAGGUAAUGGCUCACCAAGGCAACGACGGGUAGCCGGCCUGAGAGGGCGACCGGCCACACGGGGACUGAGACACGGCCCAGACUCCUACGGGAGGCAGCAGUGGGGAAUAUUGGGCAAUGGACGCAAGCCUGACCCAGCGACGCCGCGUGAGGGAUGAAGGCCUUCGGGUUGUAAACCUCUUUCAGUAGGGAAGAAGCGAAAGUGACGGUACCUAAAGAAGAAGCACCGGCUAACUAUGUGCCAGCAGCCGCAGUAA